ACCUGAUAAAGUCAAGCUACUUGGAAGGGUAUGACGCAAAGCUAUUAACCUAAGUCCUGAUUUACCGAACAUGGUCGUAAAGUCGUCAGA
rnacentral:ncRNA from 1 species